GGGGACUCUUCUCCAGGUUGCUAUGGGACUCUUCUCCAGGUUGCUACGGGACUCUUCUCCAGGUUACUACGGGACUCUUCUCCAGGUUGCUACGGGACUCUUCUCCAGGCUACUACGGGACUCUUCUCCAGGCUACUAUGGGACUAUUCUC